rnacentral:rRNA from 1 species
GAGGAGUAUUGGUCAAUGGACGCAAGUCUGAACCAGCCAUGUCGCGUGCAGGGUGACGGCCCUAUGGGUUGUAAACUGCUUUUGUACGGGAAGAAAAUAGGGUAUGUAUACCCUUUUGCCGGUACUGUACGAAUAAGCAUCGGCUAACUCCGUGCCAGCAGCCGCGGUAAUACGGAGGAUGCGAGCGUUAUCCGGAUUCAUUGGGUUUAAAGGGUGCGCAGGCGGAUUAUUAAGUCAGGGGUGAAAUCCCACGGCUCAACCGUGGAACUGCCUUUGAUACUGAUAGUCUAGAGUAUAGUUGAAGUUGGCGGAAUGUGUCAUGUAGCGGUGAAAUGCUUAGAUAUGACACAGAACACCGAUCGCGAAGGCAGCUAGCUAAGCUAUAACUGACGCUCAUGCACGAAAGCGUGGGGAUCAAAC